rnacentral:tRNA from 1 species
UCCAGGGUAGCCUAGUGGACAUGGCAUCUGCUCGGUAAGCAGAACACUGUGGGUUCGAUUCCCAUCCCUGGAC